AUUGAACGCUGGCGGCAGGCCUAACACAUGCAAGUCGAGCGAGUGGCGGACGGGUGAGUAAUGUAUGGGAAUCUGCCCGAUAGAGGGGGAUAACUACUGGAAACGGUGGCUAAUACCGCAUACCAUCAGAUGAACCCAGAUGGGAUGAGCUAGUAGGUGGGGUAAAGGCUCACCAAGGCGACGAUCCCUAGCUGGUCUGAGAGGAUGACCAGCCACACUGGAACUGAGACACGGCCCAGACUCCUACGGGAGGCAGCAGUGGGGAAUAUUGCACAAUGGGCGCAAGCCUGAUGCAGCCAUGCCGCGUGUAUGAAGAAGGCCUUAGGGUUGUAAAGUACUUUCAGCGGGGAGGCGUUACCCGCAGAAGAAGCACCGGCUAACUCCGUGCCAGCAGCCGCGGUAAUUC
rnacentral:rRNA from 1 species